AUACUGGAUGGAUGACAAAUGUCCUGUCCUGGAUAAGGUCUGGGACAGUGAGGUCAGGAUGGUGGAGAGAGGGUGGCUUGGUACCAAGCCACAUGCACAAACUCUCUCAUUCUCCUACUAACACUCCAAGAUGUUUCAGGAUACUUACUUCUGAUCUCAUGGCGGGGCAUCACACCAGACCCAUUACAUGCAUGCUGGGAGAACAGAGCAACCUUCAAUCCCUAUACACGGGCUACUUAACCCUCUUGGUCUCCUCUUUCUGGCAGAAGGAGCACAGAGCAGCCAGGCGUGAGCUGUGAGAAGAUGAGGCAUCUGCAGAUGAAGUUCUGAUGCACCCACUCAUGGAGGCCAAGCUAUCCCUCCUGCAAGUCCUGCCCCGAUAAGGC
rnacentral:lncRNA from 1 species